rnacentral:rRNA from 1 species
UAGUCUGGUGCCAGCAGCCGCGGUAAUUCCAGCUCCAAUAGCGUAUAUUAAAGUUGUNGCAGUUAAAACGNUCGUAGUCGGAUUUCGGGGCAGGUUUGCCGGUCUGCCGAUGGGUAUGCACUGGUAGAACUGUCCUUCCUUCCGGAGACGGCGCCUACUCUUAACUGAGCGGGUGUCGGAGACGGAUCGUUUACUUUGAAAAAAUCAGAGUGUUUCAAGCAGGCAGCUCGCUUUUGCAUGGAUUAGCAUGGGAUAAUGAAAUAGGACUUUGGUGCUAUUUUGUUGGUUUCGAACACCGAAGUAAUGAUUAACAGGGACAGUCAGGGGCACUCGUAUUCCGCCGAGAGAGGUGAAAUUCUUAGACCAGCGGAAGACGAACCACUGCGAAAGCAUUUGCCAGGGAUGUUUUCACUGAUCAAGAACGAAAGUUAGGGGAUCGAAGACGAUCAGAUACCGUCGUAGUCUUAACCAUAAACCAUGCCGACUAGGGAUUGGAGGAUGUUCCUAUGUGACUCCUUCAGCACCUUUCGGGAAACUAAAGUCUUUGGGUUCCGGGGGGAGUAUGGUCGCAAGGCUGAAACUUAAAGGAAUUGACGGAAGGGCACCACCAGGAGUGGAGCCUGCGGCUUAAUUUGACUCAACACGGGGAAACUUACCAGGUCCAGACAUUGUGAGGAUUGACAGAUUGAGAGCUCUUUUUUGAUUCGAUGGGUGGUGGUGCAUGGCCGUUCUU